rnacentral:rRNA from 1 species
UACGUAGGGUGCAAGCGUUGUCCGGAAUUAUUGGGCGUAAAGAGCUCGUAGGCGGUUCGUCGCGUCGGCUGUGAAAUCCCGAGGCUCAACCUCGGGUCUGCAGUCGAUACGGGCGGACUGGAGUUCGGCAGGGGAGACUGGAAUUCCUGGUGUAGCGGUGAAAUGCGUAGAUAUCGGAAGGAACGCCGGUGGCGAAAGCGGCGCGCUGGACCUCUUCUGACGCUGAGGCGCGAAAGCCAGGGGAGCAAACGGG